UGCGUAGGCGGAAUAUUAAGUCAGUGGUGAAAUCCUGCGGCUCAACCGUAGAACUGCCUUUGAUACUGAUAUUCUUGAAUGUAGUUGAGGUAGGCGGAAUGUGUAAUGUAGCGGUGAAAUGCUUAGAUAUUACACAGAACACCGAUUGCGAAGGCAGCUUACUAAACUAUGAUUGACGCUGAGGCACGAAAGCGUGGGGAGCGAACAGGAUUAGAUACCCUGGUAGUCC
rnacentral:rRNA from 1 species